ACCUGAGUUGUGUCCUCACCUGCCCCGCAGCUGGGGCGCGCUUCUUAGAGUCACGGUGAGCCGCGUGUUAACAGAAGCAGCUAGACCCGCUCCCCACGGCUGCCACAGAGUCGGCAAGCAGCGGGCACACAGGUGCCCAGCAGGCAUGCAGGUGCCC